GGGCGGUGUGACGGGCGGUGUGUACAAGGCCCGGGAACGGAUUCACCGUGGCGUUCUGAUCCACGAUUACUAGCGACUCCAGCUUCAUGUAGGUGAGUUGCAACCUGCAAUCCGAACUGAGAUCUGCUUUCUGAGAUUAGCUACACCUCGCGGCUUCGCUGCUCUCUGUACAGACCAUUGUAGCACGUGUGUAGCCCAGGACAUAAGGGGCAUGAUGACUUGACGUCAUCCCCACCUUCCUCCAGAUUGCUCCUCUGGCAGUCUCCUUAGAGUCCCCACCAUUACGUGCUGGCAACUAAGGACAGGGGUUACGCUCGUUGCGGGACUUAACCCAACAUCUCACGACACGAGCUGACGACAGCCAUGCACCACCUGUCUCCUCGCUCCCGAAGGCACUCCUCAGUUUCCCGAGGAUUCGAGGGAUGUCAAGCCCUGGUAAGGUUCUUCGCGUUGCAUCGAAUUAAACCACAUACUCCACCGCUUGUGCGGGCCCCCGUCAAUUCCUUUGAGUUUCACACUUGCGUGUGUACUCCCCAGGCGGGAUACUUAUCGCGUUGGCUGCGGUACUGAACGGGUCGAUACGUCCAACACCUAGUAUCCAUCGUUUACAGCUAGGACUACAGGGGUAUCUAAUCCCUUUCGCUCCCCUAGCUUUCGUCCCUCAGCGUCAGUUACGGCCCAGUAGAGCGCCUUCGCCACUGGUGUUCUUCCCAAUAUCUACGCAUUUCACCGC
rnacentral:rRNA from 1 species